GUUGAACGCUGGCGGCAGGCCUAACACAUGUAAGUCGAGCGGAUGAAGAGAGCUUGCUCUCUGAUUUAGCGGCGGACGGGUGAGUAAUGCCUAGGAAUCUGCCUGGUAGUGGGGGAUAACGUUCCGAAAGGAACGCUAAUACCGCAUACGUCCUACGGGAGAAAGCAGGGGACCUUCGGGCCUUGCGCUAUCAGAUGAGCCUAGGGCGGAUUAGCUAGUUGGUGAGGUAAUGGCUCACCAAGGCGACGAUCCGUAACUGGUCUGAGAGGAUGAUCAGUCACACUGGAACUGAGACACGGUCCAGACUCCUACGGGAGGCAGCAGUGGGGAAUAUUGGACAAUGGGCGAAAGCCUGAUCCAGCCAUGCCGCGUGUGUGAAGAAGGUCUUCGGAUUGUAAAGCACUUUAAGUUGGGAGGAAGGGCAGUAAGUUAAUACCUUGCUGUUUUGACGUUACCGACAGAAUAAGCACCGGCUAACUUCGUGCCAGCAGCCGCCGUAACAC
rnacentral:rRNA from 1 species